GAUGAACGCUGGCGGCGUGCCUAAUACAUGCAAGUCGAGCGAACGGUCGAGAAGCUUGCUUUUCUGAUGUUAGCGGCGGACGGGUGAUUAACACGUGGAUAACCUACCUAUAAGACUGGGAUAAUUUCGGGAAACCGGAGCUAAUACCGGAUGAUAUUUUGACCAGCAUUGAUCAAAAGUGCAAUUCGCUCUUUGUGUCACUUAUAGCUCGCUCCGCGCUGCAUGAGCUAGUUGGUAAGGUAACGGCUUACCAACGCAACGAUGCAUACCCGACCUCAGAGGGUGAUCGGCCACCCUGGAACUGAGACACGGUCCAGACUCCGACGGGAGGCAGCAGUAGGGAAUCUUCCGCGAUGGGCGAAAGCCGGACGGAGCAACGCCGCGUGAGUGAUGAAGGUCUUCGGAUGGUAAAGCUCUGUUAUUAGGGAAGAACAUAUGUGUAAGUAACUGUGCACAUCUUGACGGUACCUAAUCAGAAAGCCACGGCUAACUACGUG
rnacentral:rRNA from 1 species